rnacentral:rRNA from 1 species
UACGGAGGGGGCGAGCGUUAUUCGGAAUUAUUGGGCGUAAAGGGCGCGUAGGCGGCUCUUUAAGUCAAAGGUGAAAUCCCUCGGCUCAACUGAGGAACUGCCUUUGAAACUGAGGAGCUUGAGUCCGGGAGGGGUAGCGGAAUCCCCAGUGUAGCGGUGAAAUGCGUAGAUAUUGGGAGGAACACCAGUGGCGAAGGCGGCUACCUGGACCGGAACUGACGCUGAUGCGCGAAAGCGUGGGUAGCAAACAGG